UACAGAGGGAGCAAGAGUUAAUCGGAAUUACUGGGCGUAAAGCGCACGUAGGCGGCUUGGUAUGUCGGGUGUGAAAACCCCGGGCUCAACCUGGGAACUGCAUCCGAAACUGCCUUGCUGGAGUAUGGGAGAGGGAAGCGGAAUUUCCGGUGUAGCGGUGAAAUGCGUAGAUAUCGGAAGGAACAUCAGUGGCGAAGGCGGCUUCCUGGACCAAUACUGACGCUCAGGUGCGAAAGCGUGGGGAGCAAACAGG
rnacentral:rRNA from 1 species